UACGUAGGGAGCAAGCGUUGUCCGGAAUCAUUGGGCGUAAAGCGCGCGUAGGCGGCCUCAUAAGUCCGUUGUGAAAGUCAAAGGCUCAACCUUUGAAAGCCGAUGGAUACUGUGAGGCUAGAGUCCGGAAGAGGCGAGUGGAAUUCCUGGUGUAGCGGUGGAAUGCGCAGAUAUCAGGAGGAACACCAAUAGCGAAGGCGGCUCGCUGGGACGGUACUGACGCUAAGGCGCGAAAGCGUGGGGAGCGAACAGG
rnacentral:rRNA from 1 species